GAGACUCCAAUUACAGCACAUAUACCAAAAUUUGAAUAAUAUAGAGAAGAUUAGCAUGGCCCCUGUGCAAGAGUGAAACACAAAUUCAUGAAGUGUCCAGUAUAAAA
ensembl:snRNA U6 U6 spliceosomal RNA